CAGACGGGAGGCAGCAGGAGGGAAUUUGGAGCAAUGGGAGAAAGAAGGAGGAAGUAAAGAAGAGGGAGAGAGACGCCCUUCGGGGUGUAAAGAUCUGUCAGUGGGGACGAAACUUGACGGUACCCACAGAGGAAGCACCGGCUAACUCCGUGCCAGCAGCCGCGGUAAUACGGGGGGUGCAAGCGUUGUCCGGAAUCAUUGGGCGUAAAGAGUUCGUAGGCGGCACGUAAAGUCUGGUGUUAAAGGCAGAGGCUCAACUUCUGUACGGCACUGGAUACUUGCGAGCUAGAAUGCGGUAGAGGUAAAGGGAAUUCCUGGUGUAGCGGUGAAAUGCUUAGAUAUCAGGAGGAACAUCGGUGGCGUAAGCGCUUUACUGGGCCGUAAUUGACGCUGAGGAACGAAAGCCAGGGUAGCAAAUGGGAUUAGAUACCCCAGUAGUC
rnacentral:rRNA from 1 species